rnacentral:lncRNA from 1 species
GAUUCCUUGAGCACUUGAUAAAGAGAAGACAGUGUGUAAGAUGCCAGCUGAGGUGGUAACCUCAUUGUCAAAAGAUCCCCAGCAGCAUGAGCAUGGCCAUAUGAUGCCUUUUACCACAUUGCGGCACAGCAAGAAGGCCCUCACUGGAUGCAACUCUUUGAUCUUGGACCUCUUGAGGGGUGACAGUGUGCUGGCAGCCCUCGCAGCCCUCCAUCACUCUUGGUGCCUCCUCGGCCUGGGCGCCCACUUUGGCCGUGCUUGAGGAGCCCUUCAGCCCGCCGCUGCACUGUGGGAGCCCCUACCUGGGAUGACCAAGGCCAGAGCCGGCUCCCUCAGCCUGUGGGGAGGUGUGGAGGGAGAGGCACUGGUGGAAACCUGAGCUGCGCACAGUGCUUGCAGUCCAGCUAGAGUUCCGGGUGGGCGUGGGCUUCGCAGCCAGCACUCGCACUCGGAGUGGCCGGCUGGCCCCUGGGCAGUGAGGGGCUUGGCACCCGGGCCAGCAGCUGCAGAGGGUGCGCCGGGUCCCCCAGCAGUGCUGGCUCACUGGGGCUAUACUCGAUUUUUUGCAGGGCCUUAGCUGCCUCCCCACAGGGCAGGGCUCAGGACCUGCAGCCCGCCAUGCCUGAGCUUCCCAGCCACCAGGCCCCCGCCCCCCGCCCCCAGCCCCCCACCAGCCCCCCGCCCCCAACCCCCUGCUCACGACCUCCCCCCCCCCCCCCCCGCCGUGGGCUCUUGCACAACCCAAACCUCCCUGAUGAGUGCUGCCCUCUGCUGCUCCAGGGCGCCCAGUCCCAUUGACCACCCAAGGACUGAGAAGUGUGGGCACACGGCGGGGGACUGGCAGGCAGCUCCACCUGCGGUGGGGUUUGGGAUCCACUGGGUGAAGCCAGCUGGGCUCCUGAGUCUAGUGGGGCCUUGAAGAACCUUUAUGUCUAGCUAAGGGAUUGUAAAAACACCAGUCAGCACUCUGUGUCUAGCUCAAGGUUUGUAAAUACACCAGUCAGCACUCUGUAUCUAGCUAAUCUAGUGGGGACUUGGAGAACUUUUGUGUCUAGCUCAGGGAUUGUAAAGGCACCAAUCAGCACCCUGUCAAAACGGACCAAUCAGCUCUCUGUAAAACGGACCAAUCAGCUCUCUGUAAAAUGGACCAAUCAGCAGGAUGUGGGUGGGGCCAGAAAAGAGAAUAAACGCGGGCUUCCAGAGCCAGCAGAGGCAACCCCACUGUACCCUUCCACAGUGUGGAAGCUUUGUUCUUUUGCUCUUUGCCAUAUGGCUUGCUGCUGCUCACUCUUUGGGUCCACACUGCCUUUAUGAGCUGUAACACUCACCACGAAGGUCUGAAGCUUCACUUCUGAAGCCAGGGAGACCACGAACCCACCGGGAGGAAUGAACAACUCCAGACCUGCCGCCUUAAGAGCUGUAACACUCACUGAGAAGGUCUGCAGCUUCACUCCUGAGCCAGCGAGACCACGAACCCACCAGAAGGAAGAAAUUCCUAACACAUACAAAUAUCAGAAGGAACAAACUGGGGACACGCCGCCUUUAAGAACUGUUAACACUUCCUACUAGGGUCUGCAGCUUCAUUCUUGAAGUCAGUGAGACCGAGAACCCACCCAUUCUGGACACAGUCUCAGCCUUCAGAAUCGUGAUCAGUAAAUUUCUGUUCUUUAUAAAUU